rnacentral:rRNA from 1 species
CACGCCGUAAACUAUGGGUGCUAGCCGUCGGCAAGCUUGCUUGUCGGUGGCGCAGCUAACGCAUUAAGCACCCCGCCUGGGGAGUACGGCCGCAAGGUUAAAACUCAAAGGAAUUGACGGGGGCCCGCACAAGCGGUGGAGCAUGUGGUUUAAUUCGACGCAACGCGAAGAACCUUACCAGCCCUUGACAUGUCCGGACGAUUUCCAGAGAUGGAUUUCUCCUAGCAAUAGGUCGGAACACAGGUGC